rnacentral:rRNA from 1 species
AGAGUUUGAUCAUGGCUCAGGAUGAACGCUGGCGGCGUGCUUAACACAUGCAAGUCGGACGGGGCCCUUUCGGGGGUUCAGUGGCGGACGGGUGCGUAACACGUAGGUGACCUGCCCUGGAGUGGGGAAUAAUUCCGCGAAAGCGGGACUAAUACCGCAUAGGCUCGUAGGUUCGGUUCUACGAGUAAAGCUGCGAGGCGCUUCAGGAUGGGCCUGCGGCGGAUUAGCUGGUUGGUGGGGUAACGGCUCACCAAGGCGAUGAUCCGUAGGGGGCGUGAGAGCGUGGCCCCCCACAUUGGCACUGAGACACGGGCCAAACUCCUACGGGAGGCAGCAGUGAGGAAUAUUGCGCAAUGGGCGAAAGCCUGACGCAGCAACGCCGCGUGAGGGACGAAGGCCUUCGGGUCGUAAACCUCUUUUCUGAGGGACGAGACAAGGACGGUACCUCAGGAAUCAGUCUCGGCUAACUACGUGCCAGCAGCCGCGGUAAAACGUAGGAGGCGAGCGUUAUCCGGAUUUACUGGGCGUAAAGCGCACGCAGGUGGCACGGCAAGUCGGUUGUGAAAGCUCCUGGCUUAACUGGGAGAGGCCAAGCGAAACUGCCGAGCUUGAGGUUGGGAGAGGGGUGCGGAAUUCCCGGUGUAGCGGUGGAAUGCGUAGAUAUCGGGAGGAACACCAGUAGCGAAGGCGGCACCCUGGCCCACACCUGACGCUGAGGUGCGAAAGCGUGGGGAGUAAACAGGAUUAGAUACCCUGGUAAUCCACGCUGUAAACGAUGUCAACUGGGUGUCGGUAGUGUUACACUAUCGGUGCCGAAGCUAACGCGUUAAGUUGACCGCCUGGGGACUACGGCCGCAAGGCUAAAACUUAAAUGAAUUGACGG